rnacentral:ncRNA from 2 species
GCACGCUGCCACGGGAGUCCGGCGCGCCGGGCUGAGAGGUGGGCACGCGGCCCACGACCGUCCGCACCUGAUUCGGAUCAUGCCGACGCAGGAAGGUGUACGGCAGCUUCC